ACGGAGGAAUAUAUACCAAUCACAUGGUUCAAAGGAGGCGACUUUCCUUUGCCCUGUCUCUCUGGUCCAUCUGCUGCUUCACUGCCUAGUACCUUUAACUGUAUGUUUGCGGCCAGUUAAGGAGACUUGAGAAAAAAAUUUCCCAUGCAUGAUUUCAGAGUCGAAGCUCAUGGUUCAAUCAUUGACGUCAGCUUGGCUGCUUACUUCAUUGUAAAUGCCUUUCACUGUUCGAUUAUUUUUUCUGAAGAUGCCUGCAAGUGAGAUAGAUGGUGAAGGAAUCAGAGCUGAUCUUGAGGUCUCUGAUGCCACUGUUGUUGCAACAUGUUUGGUUCUCGCAAUUCAAUCCCUGAUGAGCUUCAGAAAUUGGUCGAGGUCAAGGUCGAGACAGGGAUAUAUUAAAGGUGAAAUGGAUGCCAUAUCUUCUUGCAGCCUGUUCUCAAAGUUCUUGUUUACAAAUGCAAGAUAUGGAUUAUUUUGAUUCACAGGAGAUAAUGACAUUUCUUGACAAUUCUAGAACAGUCCAUCUGAGUUCUUUUGUCAGGCUGCAUCAUUUAACCCCAGCACAAGUCCAGUUUCUUCUAAGCAAUCAUUCGUGACAAAAUUGCAGCUUCAUUGCUUCAAAUACCCAAAUUUGUGUCCAGCAUGAUCCUCGUAUUUCUAAUGUGGCUGCACACCGAAUUGCACAGAUUGUAGCUUUGUAGCGGUUUCUUUGCCGUCUAUUGAAUGCAGCACUUCCGUGGAUCAUGGAUUGUAUUCACAACAAUUGUCCUGUUUCGCUUGAUUGUCCUUGAUCAUAAUUGUAUUUUGUCUGCAUACCGAAAUCAUAGUUGAUGCAGCAGGAACUAAUACUUUUAAGUUUUAAGUUGAUAUCCCCCUACAAUUAUAAAAAUAAUGAUGAUCAUAUUCAGGGGCUCUAGAAGGCAUGGGCAGCAAAGUAACAGUACAAUUAUAAACCCAAUUGAUUUUCA